rnacentral:rRNA from 1 species
AAACCGUCCAGGGGUAAACCUGCGAAACUCGAAUGAACGAACGGGGAGAUUCAUCGUCAUUCCUCGGCGCACGGGCGCAGGUUAGAUGUUCGCGGUCUCGGCCGCGGGCACUGCCCGCGUACGUAGCGCUCCGGGGACGGCGUGCACUUCUCCCUUAGUAAUACAUCGCGACCCGUUAGAUGUCGGUCUAAGUGCCUCCCGGGAGUCUUCUCGCCGUUCGCGGCGGGUAGACCGGCGGGUGCACCGACCGGCCGUCUGACGGUAGUCAUCAAGAAACGCUCACGCGCUCGCGCGCGUCCGGCCCGACGCAAGGCAACGUCGUAUCCUCAGUCCUGCCCGAGUGCGGACCGGGGUGCGGCGCGCCUGUCGUCGCAGCCGUGCUGUCUCGGACUGUGUGCGUAUCCGUCUGCGAUGAUUCAGUUUCGGGCACUCGCAGGACCCGUCUUGA